GAUGAAGAACGUAGCGAAAUGCGAUAAGUAGUGUGAAUUGCAGAAUUCAGUGAAUCAUCGAAUCUUUGAACGCACAUUGCGCCCUUUGGUAUUCCAAAGGGCAUGCCUGUUCGAGCGUCAUUUGUACCCUCAAGCUUUGCUUGGCGUUGGGCGUCUUGUCUCUAGCUUUGCUGGAGACUCGCCUUAAAGUAAUUGGCAGCCGGCCUACUGGUUUCGGAGCGCAGCACAAGUCGCACUCUCUAUCAGCAAAGGUCUAGCAUCCAUUAAGCCUUUUUUUCAACUUUUGACCUCGGAUCAGGUAGGGAUACCCGCUGAACUUAAGCAUAUCAAUAAGCGGAGGA
rnacentral:misc_RNA from 1 species